rnacentral:lncRNA from 1 species
GGUUGAGGGGCGUGGUCUCGAGGCGGCAGGUGAGCGCGGCCUCCUGGGGCUGAGGACGGCUGCCCGCGCUGCCCUCCUGGGCGCCUCCGCCCCGUAACUAUCAGAGCAGGCAGCCAGCACCCACCCGGCCUGCAUCCCAAAGAUGAUCAUCACCACCUAAGCGAGGGGUUUUUACGCGGACUUGAGUUUUCAACUCCUUUGGGUAAAGAUACAAUUGCUGAGCCAUAUGUUGAAUAACAGAUAUGCAGUGACCAGUCACCAACAGACUUUGAGAAGAGUGAUGUGAAUGGCCAUGGAUCAUGAUGUACAUCUGCUAUUUCUGUAAUUAUUUGUGUGCUGAAGAGCAAGCAGUGAAGAUUGAAGUUAAUGUAAAUUUUCUAUAUAUGAAAAUAUAAAGAAAUUUCCAGACGUUGGAUUCCUACAAACUUUGCUGCAACAUAUCCUUUCUACGGUCUUAAAAACUAUUUCACAAGCCUGUAAGUGAAGACCAGGGGCCACAGAGGCAAUGAAAACUUAUUCUAAGUGUGACACUUUCAACUCCCCUUACUCUACAACAAGCUCCAUCUUUGACCAGCACUAAGAGGAGGCUUGAGAGUCUACAGAAGAUUGAAACCAUCCACUUGGUACCAGUGGGAACCAGAGAACUCUAACAUACAGGUUGAGGAAUUAAUGAGGGAAGCAAAGGUAACAAAUACAUAGAGACAAACAAAAAAAAAGAUGAAGGAGAAAGAGAAUGAUGAGGAGGAGGAGGAGAGUGG